CGUACGCCCGUUUUUGGUUCUGUAAGUUGGUUUUGCAUAUUAGGACAUAACUAACUCUCAUCUUGUCCUCACCAGAUGCUAACACUAGAUAAAUCAAACCACACAAGGCUUACACACAAAUGUGACUUUAACAUUAUUAUUCAACCAAAAAGCCAACAGGCAGAAGCCAUGUGUGGAAAAAGUGUGCCCGUCCUGCUUCCGUAUCGAUUUAGAAGGAAAUUACGACCAGGUGCAGCUAAUCAAGUACACAUGAUUAGUUGUUCAUCAGACAGUGCCAUCACCUGUGUGUAAAUGCAGAAACUGAGAGUUUGGUCUGGAAUGUUCAGGUUUGUGUUAAAAUAGCAUGCGAUGGACAAACAAAACUGUAUCUAAUGAUCCCAGAGGAGCAAUUGUUGCUACUCGCUAGUCUAUGAAAUGAGCUAAAGCCAUUUCCAAAUGAUAUAAAGUCCAUCGUUCUACAGUAAGAAAGCUGCCAGAGGAAAACACCAUGCAGAGAUACGGUUCUCAGGCGAUUUUAAUACAAACACUUGAGAGAAGACUGACCACACAGCGCUCAAAGUUCUGGAAUGUGGAACAUGCUGUUCACUGACACCAUUGAACACCACAGACCAACACUUCUCCUGCCAGGCAUCAAAACUGAGUGGAGAGUUAAAUAAAACUUGUGUGUAUAUAAAUGCAA